AACGAACGUUGGCGGCGGGCUUAACACAUGCAAGUCGAACGGGUGCAGCAAUGCAUCAGUGGCAGACGGGUGAGUAACACGUGGGAACCUUCCUAGGGGUACGGAACAACUCAGGGAAACUUGAGCUAAUACCGUAUACGUCCGUGAGGAGAAAGAUUUAUCGCCCUUAGACGGGCCCGCGUCGGAUUAGCUAGUUGGUGGGGUAACGGCCUACCAAGGCGACGAUCCGUAGCUGAUCUUAGAGGAUGAUCAGCCACACUGGGACUGAGACACGGCCCAGACUCCUACGGGAGGCAGCAGUGGGGAAUCUUGGACAAUGGGCGCAAGCCUGAUCCAGCCAUGCCGCGUGAGUGAAGAAGGUCUUCGGAUUGUAAAGCUCUUUUGCCAGGGACGAUAAUGGCGGUACCUGGAGAAUAAGCCCCGGCAAACUUCGUGCCAGCAGCCGCUGUAA
rnacentral:rRNA from 1 species